GAUGAAGAACGUAGCGAAAUGCGAUAAGUAAUGCGAAUUGCAGAAUUCAGUGAAUCAUCGAAUCUUUGAACGCACAUUGCGCCCGCUAGUAUUCUGGCGGGCAUGCCUGUCUGAGCGUCAUUUCAACCCUCGCCCCCGGCUUUUGCUGGGAGCGGUGUUGGGGAUCGGCCGCCCGUCACUGGGAGGCCGGCCCCGAAAUAGAGUGGCGACCACGCCGUGUGCUCCUCUGCGUAAUAGUAAAUCACCUCGCAGGCGGACAGCGGUGCGGCCUGCCGUAAAACCCCCAACUCUUUCUGGUUGACCUCAGAUCAGGUAGGAAUACCCGCUGAACUUAAGCAUAUCAAUAAGCGGAGGA
rnacentral:misc_RNA from 1 species